CAGUAGCCGCGGGAAAACGAACCGUGCGAACGUUAUUCGGAAUCACUGGGCUUAAAGCGCGUGUAGGCGGGCCGCCACGUCGGCUGCUGAAAUCCCCCGGCUCAACCGGGGAACGGGCACCGAUACGGGCGGCCUUGAGGGGGGUAGGGGGGUCUGGAACUUCCGGUGGAGCGGUGAAAUGCGUUGAGAUCGGAAGGAACGCCCGUGGCGAAAGCGAGGCCCUGGGCCAAUACUGACGCUCAUGCACGAAAGCGUGGGGAGCAAACAGGAUUAGAUACCCGCGUAGUCCCUGUCUCUUAUA
rnacentral:rRNA from 1 species